UGGUUAUCUGUUUGUAUUAAAUAUCACAUACACAUCCUCUGAUUGUACAUAGAAAAGAAUUUUAGAUAUAUAUAAAUGUCCCGAAUUCUGGAUGACUUUUGAAUUAAAAGAAAUGACAGCGCAUAAAAAAAUCAGUGAUGCAAUUGGAAAAUAGGAACUUGGAGCUGGCAAAAAUACUCUUUGAGAUUACUUUCAAGGAUAUUAUUGUUUUCGAUAAUUAAAAAUUAAGGUGGAGCUUUUCUUUGUAAAGUAUCUUACGCCAGUGUUGAAUGAGCUUCUCAGGUUUUCUCAUGAUGCAGGAAUCGACCUUUCCUUGUAGAACAUUCACCCGCGCAAGAGAAGCUGAACUUCAAUAUUGAGAAUAUUAUUAUUUUCUCUGAAGGAGAUUCGCUUCAUCAAACAGCUAUGUUUCGGGCCCAAAUAAGAAAAAAAAACACCAUUGUGCUUAAAAUACAAAAGAAAAAAGAAUUCAUUCGUUCAGAAUUUUUUAUUUAAGCCAAACAGGUAAUUAUGACGUAAUGAAGAAAUACCAACAAAAUUUUGUAGAUAAAAGAAUAUCUUUCAUAAGUUAAAAAUAUACUAAUAAUUUCUGAUUAAUGACAUAAUAAAG